UUUAUGGAGAGUUUGAUCCUGGCUCAGGAUGAACGCUGGCGGCGUGCCUAAUACAUGCAAGUCGAGCGAACGGACGAGAAGCUUGCUUCUCUGAUGUUAGCGGCGGACGGGUGAGUAACACGUGGAUAACCUACCUAUAAGACUGGGAUAACUUCGGGAAACCGGAGCUAAUACCGGAUAAUAUUUUGAACCGCAUGGUUCAAAAGUGAAAGACGGUCUUGCUGUCACUUAUAGAUGGAUCCGCGCUGCAUUAGCUAGUUGGUAAGGUAACGGCUUACCAAGGCAACGAUGCAUAGCCGACCUGAGAGGGUGAUCGGCCACACUGGAACUGAGACACGGUCCAGACUCCUACGGGAGGCAGCAGUAGGGAAUCUUCCGCAAUGGGCGAAAGCCUGACGGAGCAACGCCGCGUGAGUGAUGAAGGUCUUCGGAUCGUAAAACUCUGUUAUUAGGGAAGAACAUAUGUGUAAGUAACUGUGCACAUCUUGACGGUACCUAAUCAGAAAGCCACGGCUAACUACGUGCCAGCAGCCGCGGUAAUACGUAGGUGGCAAGCGUUAUCCGGAAUUAUUGGGCGUAAAGCGCGCGUAGGCGGUUUUUUAAGUCUGAUGUGAAAGCCCACGGCUCAACCGUGGAGGGUCAUUGGAAACUGGAAAACUUGAGUGCAGAAGAGGAAAGUGGAAUUCCAUGUGUAGCGGUGAAAUGCGCAGAGAUAUGGAGGAACACCAGUGGCGAAGGCGACUUUCUGGUCUGUAACUGACGCUGAUGUGCGAAAGCGUGGGGAUCAAACAGGAUUAGAUACCCUGGUAGUCCACGCCGUAAACGAUGAGUGCUAAGUGUUAGGGGGUUUCCGCCCCUUAGUGCUGCAGCUAACGCAUUAAGCACUCCGCCUGGGGAGUACGACCGCAAGGUUGAAACUCAAAGGAAUUGACGGGGACCCGCACAAGCGGUGGAGCAUGUGGUUUAAUUCGAAGCAACGCGAAGAACCUUACCAAAUCUUGACAUCCUUUGACAACUCUAGAGAUAGAGCCUUCCCCUUCGGGGGACAAAGUGACAGGUGGUGCAUGGUUGUCGUCAGCUCGUGUCGUGAGAUGUUGGGUUAAGUCCCGCAACGAGCGCAACCCUUAAGCUUAGUUGCCAUCAUUAAGUUGGGCACUCUAAGUUGACUGCCGGUGACAAACCGGAGGAAGGUGGGGAUGACGUCAAAUCAUCAUGCCCCUUAUGAUUUGGGCUACACACGUGCUACAAUGGACAAUACAAAGGGCAGCGAAACCGCGAGGUCAAGCAAAUCCCAUAAAGUUGUUCUCAGUUCGGAUUGUAGUCUGCAACUCGACUACAUGAAGCUGGAAUCGCUAGUAAUCGUAGAUCAGCAUGCUACGGUGAAUACGUUCCCAGGUCUUGUACACACCGCCCGUCACACCACGAGAGUUUGUAACACCCGAAGCCGGUGGAGUAACCUUUUAGGAGCUAGCCGUCGAAGGUGGGACAAAUGAUUGGGGUGAAGUCGUAACAAGGUAGCCGUAUCGGAAGGUGCGGCUGGAUCACCUCCUUU
rnacentral:rRNA from 2 species